GACGAACGCUGGCGGCGUGCUUAACACAUGCAAGUCGAACGGGAUCCGGGCUUUCGGGUUUGGUGAGAGUGGCGAACGGGUGAGUAACACGUGAGUAACCUGCCCCCUUCUUUGGGAUAACGUCGGGAAAUCGGCGCUAAUACUGGAUAUUCUUGCUGCAUCGCAUGGUGUGGUUUGGAAAGGGUUUCUGGUGGGGGAUGGGCUCGCGGCCUAUCAGCUUGUUGGUGGGGUGAUGGCCUACCAAGGCUUUGACGGGUAGCCGGCCUGAGAGGGGGUCCGGCCACACUGGGACUGAGACACGGCCCAGACUCCUACGGGAGGCAGCAGUGGGGAAUAUUGCACAAUGGGCGCAAGCCUGAUGCAGCGACGCCGCGUGAGGGAUGACGGCCUUCGGGUUGUAAACCUCUUUCAGUAUGGAACAAGGAUCCUUCUUUUGGGGGGUUUGAGGGUACGUGCAGAAGAAGCGCCGGCUAACUACGUG
rnacentral:rRNA from 1 species